ACUCUGAUGCAUUGAUGCCGCGUGAGUGAAGAAGGCUUUGGGUUGUAAAGCUCUUUUGUAGGGGAAGAUAAUGACUGUACCCUAAGAAUAAGGUCCGGCUAACUUCGUGCCAGCAGCCGCGGUAAUACGAAGGGACCUAGCGUAGUUCGGAAUUACUGGGCGUAAAGCGCGCGUAGGCCGUUGAGUUAGUUAAUUGUGAAAUCCCAAAGCUUAACUUUGGAACUGCAAUUAAAACUGCUCGACUAGAGUUUGAUAGAGGAAAGCGGAAUACAUAGUGUAGAGGUGAAAUUCGUAGAUAUUAUGUAGAACACCAGUUGCGAAGGCGNGCUUU
rnacentral:rRNA from 1 species